CCAAAAGUUACUGUUUUUAAACGAUACAGCUUCAAAGGACUCUGGUUGUCACUUCUCCAAUAAAUUAGCUGAUAAAGCGUGUCUUGGUCUCUCAUUUGAAUUUGCCGGUACAUUUUUUCAAUGUCCGCUGUCAAGGUCCAACCAAAAGAUGUUCGUUCAAGGACGUUCCGUCAGAAGUUUUGAAGGUAGCAUCAAAAACUACUCGCAACUUCGUUGUGGUACUGGACUCCUUAAAUACAGCAUGAUGAGGCACGACAUAAUAGAAUGGUGAAUUAAGAAUUCCUUGGCUGACAUCUACUUCUUCCAUGUGAUUUAGUUGAAGGUACUCGGAAAUGCAAGCUGCAUAUUGUUUGUGUAACUCUGGAUUGUUGUUGAGUCUUCGUUCGAGUUGAAGAAAUCUUCUGAAGGCUCCUUGCUGACUGUUUCCAAGUGCAGGUCUAUCACCGUCCUUGAAUGCGUCUUCCGCAGCUUCAGGUUCAUCGAACGGUGUUUCUUCAAUUUCCCAAAAUUUGCGAAGUUGUGAAUCGAUGUCGACAAACUGCAAGUGUAUCCGAAAUGUUUCGACAGGUACCUUACCAAAGACGAUCCAUCCAAGUUGAGUGUUUUGAGCAAUUGGAGCAACUGCUUCUGUUCCCCUGACUAUCUCCGGCAGAACUAUUUCACUAAAAACAUCACUACCUAAUAGCAAGUCAACGUUAGCAGGUUUGUGAAAUGAGGGAUCGGCUAAACUCAAACCCUGAAUAUGGGCCCAUUGAUGUGGAAGAAACUCUUUAUUGGGAAGUAAACCAGUUAAAGUUUUAAAAACGAACGCCCUAGCACCUAUCUCAAAUGAGAGACUUCGACAAGGGUACGACAUUUUCUUAAAUUAAGUUGUUGUGCUGCUGCUUCGGUGAUGAAUGUUGCUUCUGAACCUGGAUCUAUCAGCGCUCUCAAAUUCACAAACUCUCCGUUCAAUGACUGAAUCUGAACUACUGCUGUGGCAAGUAGAACGAAAGAAUUCGCUUGAUUUGAGAGGUGAUAACUGCGAGUGGUGUUCGUUGAUGAAGCUUGAUCACUACCUGGAUGAAAUGCUGGAGCGUUUGGAUUGAUUUGUGUUGAUACUGGAUAGCUAUUUUGAUUUGAAACUGGUAUUGGAUUUCUACGAUGUGGUUGUGAAUUGUGCGAAUUAGACGGCUGUGAAUUGUUGAACUGUGAAUCUUGAGAAAAUGAAGGUUGAUUGUUAAAUGACUGCUGAGUAGAAUGAGAAUCGUGUAAAAGUACAUCCAAAUCUAAAAAUGAGUAACAAGAGCGAAGUGUAUGCUGACCGCGAUGACAUACUGCACAACUACGAGUAUCCUUCCUUGUAGAAUUCAAGUGAAAUACUCUUGGUUUGAAUUUAGAUGGUUCCUUACUAGUGGAAUCUAGUGACUUCAACCCUGAUUGGCAAACAACUUCUAAAGAACGAAAACGAGUUUCCAAAAAAACUGAAAAUUCAUGGAAAGAAGGUAGUUUUUGUAGCAAUGUGAAAAUCACGAAAACAUCCCAACUUUCUACUGGCACACCUAAGUUCUUCAAAGCAUGAAGCACUUCUUUCGAUUUAUCUAACAGACACUUGAUAGAAUCUGACGUUUCAACCUUAAUUAUUGGCUGCUCAAAAAAUGAUUUUAACUCACCCAAAUUUUUAUAACUCGUGAAACUCUUUUUGACUUGAGCACAAGUUUUCUUAAAUAAUUUCAUUGAGGCUGAUUCACUCAUUGUAAUAUAUGUAUGAUAAAUGAUGAAAAUUCCACACGAUGAUUUCGACAAAUUCUCCACAGUUUCUGCACAGUAAUGAUGAACGGUGAUAAUGAUGGCAACAGUUAAAACGGUGACAACGGUAAUAACGGUGACAACGGUAAUGCAGCAACAGUUAUAACGGACAACAGUUAUGAAGCAACGGCAAUCCAAUAUCACAUUUGGUGGUUAAAUUCUCCAAAAAAUAUUGAUUUUCUUUGUUACGUUUAUUGCACUUUGUAUAAUUUGAUAUAAUUACUCACAUGAAUUUAUAAAUUAAUUGUGUUGAUUAAUUGCAGGCUGAGAUGCUAACUGGGUACUUCGCUGGACAGGACACUGAUUGGGAACUCCGCUGGACAGGACACUGACUGGAUGCUCCGCAGGACAAGACAACGUAUGGGUACUUCACUGGACAGUAUGCUCGAUGACGCUCGACGUACACUCACAAUUUGUAUUUUUUAUCACAGUAUUUUGUUUUGAU